CCUACGGGGGGCUGCAGUGGGGAAUCUUGCACAAUGGGCGAAAGCCUGAUGCAGCGACGCCGCGUGAGUGAAGAAGUACUUCGGUAUGUAAAGCUCUAUCAGCAGGGACGAUAAUGACGGUACCUGACUAAGAAGCCCCGGCUAACUACGUGCCAGCAGCCGCGGUAAUACGUAGGGGGCAAGCGUUAUCCGGAUUUACUGGGUGUAAAGGGAGCGUAGGUGGUAGUGCAAGUCAGAUGUGAAAGCCCGUUGCUUAACAGCGGGAUUGCAUCAGAAACUGCAUUACUAGAGUACAGGAGAGGUAAGUGGAAUUCCUAGUGUAGCGGUGAAAUGCGUAGAUAUUAGGAGGAACAUCAGUGGCGAAGGCGACUUACUGGACUGUAACUGACACUAAGGCUCGAAAGCGUGGGGAGCAAACAGGAUUAGAUACCCCUGUAGUC
rnacentral:rRNA from 1 species